UAUGUUAUAUACAUGGAUAUAUAAACAAGAUUACUGUUUGGUUGUUCUUAAUUCUCAUUUUUUGUUUAAAUUUAUUUUGUGCUCUCCAAGUUAAUGGUUUAUUUAUUUAUUCUUUUUUAUUUUGUUUUCAAAUUAUAUUUUUGUUGUAGGAAUUGGAUCAAGAGAGUGAGAUUCCAUCGUCAAAAGAGUUAGAAAGUAGAUCUUUUGAAGCGAAUAAUAGAGCAGUGUGAUUUUUUUUUAUGAUAGAGACUUGAUGUAUUAAGAGCUGUAUGUCAAAACCUUUA